GUCCCGGUGGCCGAGUGGUUAAGGCGACGCCCUGCUAUUAUAUCAUUGUAGUUUAGGCGUUGGGUUCUGCCCGCGCAAGUUCGAAUCUUGUCCGUGACG